CACAGACACACACAUACAGAAAAACACACAUACAUACUGUGACAAACUUACUUCCCGGUGUGUGUUUGUCCAGGAUCUUUUUGGCAACUGCAGAGCCCUCUAGUUUAAGGAAGCCAUGUCAAAACAGAGUCCAGUUACAAAGGCCUCAGGCCUGUUUAUUUUCUGUUGUUAAGAAGUAGCACGAUACAACAGGAUACAACAGGAUACAACAAGCAACAA